rnacentral:rRNA from 1 species
AUUGAACGCUGGUGGCAUGCCUUACACAUGCAAGUCGAACGGCAGCACGGGAGCAAUCCUGGUGGCGAGUGGCGAACGGGUGAGUAAUAUAUCGGAACGUGCCCGGUCGUGGGGAUAACGUAGCGAAAGCUACGCUAAUACCGCAUACGAUCUACGGAUGAAAGCGGGGGAUCGCAAGACCUCGCGCGAUUGGAGCGGCCGAUAUCAGAUUAGGUAGUUGGUGAGGUAAAGGCUCACCAAGCCGACGAUCUGUAGCUGGUCUGAGAGGACGACCAGCCACACUGGGACUGAGACACGGCCCAGACUCCUACGGGAGGCAGCAGUGGGGAAUAUUGGACAAUGGGCGAAAGCCUGAUCCAGCAAUGCCGCGUGAGUGAUGAAGGCCUUAGGUGUAAAGCUCUUUUACCCGACGAUGAUAAUGACAGUAAUCGGGAGAAUAAGCUCGGCUAACUCCGUGCCAGCAGCCGCGGUAA